rnacentral:rRNA from 1 species
AUUGAACGCUGGCGGAAUGCUUUACACAUGCAAGUCGAGCGGCAGCGCGGGGCAACCUGGCGGCGAGCGGCGAACGGGUGAGUAACAUAUCGGAACGUACCCCGUCGUGGGGGAUAACUACCCGAAAGGGUGGCUAAUACCGCAUACGACCUGAGGGGGAAAGGGGGGGAUCGCAUGACCUCUCGCGAUGGGAGCGGCCGAUAUCGGAUUAGCUUGUUGGUGAGGUAAAGGCUCACCAAGGCGACGAUCCGUAGCUGGUCUGAGAGGACGACCAGCCACACUGGAACUGAGACACGGUCCAAACUCCUACGGGAGGCAGCAGUGGGGAAUUUUAGACAAUGGGCGAAAGCCUGAUCCAGCCAUGCCGCGUGCAGGAUGAAGGCCUUCGGGUUGUAAACUGCUUUUGUACGGAACGAAAAGGUUUGGCCUAAUAAGCUGAGCUCAUGACGGUACCGUAAGAAUAAGCACCGGCUAACUACGUGCCAGCCGCCGCGGUAA